rnacentral:rRNA from 1 species
CUACGGGUUGCUCCAGUGAGGAAUAUUGCACAAUGGGGGGAACCCUGAUGCAGCAACGCCGCGUGGAGGAUGACGCAUUUCGGUGUGUAAACUCCUUUUAUAUGUCAAGAAAAUGACGGUAGCAUAUGAAUAAGCACCGGCUAACUCCGUGCCAGCAGCCGCGGUAAUACGGAGAGGUGCAAGCGUUACUCGGAAUCACUGGGCGUAAAGGACGCGUAGGCGGGUUGGAAAGUCAGGUGUGAAAUCCUACAGCUUAACUGUAGAACUGCACUUGAAACUUCUAAUCUAGAGUAUGGGAGGGGGAGAUGGAAUUAGUGGUGUAGGGGUAAAAUCCGUAGAUAUCACUAGGAAUACCUAAAGCGAAGGCGAUCUCCUGGAACAUUACUGACGCUAAGGCGUGAAAGCGUGGGGAGCAAACAGGAUUAGAUACCCGAGUAGUC